UUAUCGGAGAGUUUGAUCCUGGCUCAGGACGAACGCUGGCGGCGUGCCUAAUACAUGCAAGUCGAGCGGACAGAUGGGAGCUUGCUCCCUGAUGUUAGCGGCGGACGGGUGAGUAACACGUGGGUAACCUGCCUGUAAGACUGGGAUAACUCCGGGAAACCGGGGCUAAUACCGGAUGGUUGUUUGAACCGCAUGGUUCAAACAUAAAAGGUGGCUUCGGCUACCACUUACAGAUGGACCCGCGGCGCAUUAGCUAGUUGGUGAGGUAACGGCUCACCAAGGCGACGAUGCGUAGCCGACCUGAGAGGGUGAUCGGCCACACUGGGACUGAGACACGGCCCAGACUCCUACGGGAGGCAGCAGUAGGGAAUCUUCCGCAAUGGACGAAAGUCUGACGGAGCAACGCCGCGUGAGUGAUGAAGGUUUUCGGAUCGUAAAGCUCUGUUGUUAGGGAAGAACAAGUACCGUUCGAAUAGGGCGGUACCUUGACGGUACCUAACCAGAAAGCCACGGCUAACUACGUGCCAGCAGCCGCGGUAAUACGUAGGUGGCAAGCGUUGUCCGGAAUUAUUGGGCGUAAAGGGCUCGCAGGCGGUUUCUUAAGUCUGAUGUGAAAGCCCCCGGCUCAACCGGGGAGGGUCAUUGGAAACUGGGGAACUUGAGUGCAGAAGAGGAGAGUGGAAUUCCACGUGUAGCGGUGAAAUGCGUAGAGAUGUGGAGGAACACCAGUGGCGAAGGCGACUCUCUGGUCUGUAACUGACGCUGAGGAGCGAAAGCGUGGGGAGCGAACAGGAUUAGAUACCCUGGUAGUCCACGCCGUAAACGAUGAGUGCUAAGUGUUAGGGGGUUUCCGCCCCUUAGUGCUGCAGCUAACGCAUUAAGCACUCCGCCUGGGGAGUACGGUCGCAAGACUGAAACUCAAAGGAAUUGACGGGGGCCCGCACAAGCGGUGGAGCAUGUGGUUUAAUUCGAAGUAACGCGAAGAACCUUACCAGGUCUUGACAUCCUCUGACAAUCCUAGAGAUAGGACGUCCCCUUCGGGGGCAGAGUGACAGGUGGUGCAUGGUUGUCGUCAGCUCGUGUCGUGAGAUGUUGGGUUAAGUCCCGCAACGAGCGCAACCCUUGAUCUUAGUUGCCAGCAUUCAGUUGGGCACUCUAAGGUGACUGCCGGUGACAAACCGGAGGAAGGUGGGGAUGACGUCAAAUCAUCAUGCCCCUUAUGACCUGGGCUACACACGUGCUACAAUGGACAGAACAAAGGGCAGCGAAACCGCGAGGUUAAGCCAAUCCCACAAAUCUGUUCUCAGUUCGGAUCGCAGUCUGCAACUCGACUGCGUGAAGCUGGAAUCGCUAGUAAUCGCGGAUCAGCAUGCCGCGGUGAAUACGUUCCCGGGCCUUGUACACACCGCCCGUCACACCACGAGAGUUUGUAACACCCGAAGUCGGUGAGGUAACCUUUUAGGAGCCAGCCGCCGAAGGUGGGACAGAUGAUUGGGGUGAAGUCGUAACAAGGUAGCCGUAUCGGAAGGUGCGGCUGGAUCACCUCCUUUCUA
rnacentral:rRNA from 2 species